UAGGGAAGUCUUCCACAAUGGGCGAAAGCCUGAUGGAGCAACGCCGCGUGUGUGAUGAAGGGUUCCGGCUCGUAAAACACUGUUGUAAGAGAAGAAUGACAUUGAGAGUAACUGUUCAAUGUGUGACGGUAUCUUACCAGAAAGGAACGGCUAAAUACGUGCCAG
rnacentral:rRNA from 1 species